AGAGUUUGAUCAUGGCUCAGAACGAACGCUGGCGGCAUGCCUAAUACAUGCAAGUCGAACGAGACCUUCGGGUCUAGUGGCGCACGGGUGCGUAACGCGUGGGAAUCUGCCCUUGGGUUCGGAAUAACUUCGGGAAACUGAAGCUAAUACCGGAUGAUGACGAAAGUCCAAAGAUUUAUCGCCCAGGGAUGAGCCCGCGUAGGAUUAGCUAGUUGGUGGGGUAAAGGCUCACCAAGGCAACGAUCCUUAGCUGGUCUGAGAGGAUGAUCAGCCACACUGGGACUGAGACACGGCCCAGACUCCUACGGGAGGCAGCAGUAGGGAAUAUUGGACAAUGGGCGAAAGCCUGAUCCAGCAAUGCCGCGUGAGUGAUGAAGGCCUUAGGGUUGUAAAGCUCUUUUACCCGAGAUGAUAAUGACAGUAUCGGGAGAAUAAGCUCCGGCUAACUUCGUGCCAGCAGCCGCGGUAAUACGGAGGGAGCUAGCGUUGUUCGGAAUUGCUGGGCGUAAAGCGCACGUAGGCGGCGAUUUAAGUCAGAGGUGAAAGCCCGGGGCUCAACCCCGGAACUGCCUUUGAGACUGGAUUGCUAGAAUCUUGGAGAGGCGAGUGGAAUUCCGAGUGUAGAGGUGAAAUUCGUAGAUAUUCGGAAGAACACCAGUGGCGAAGGCGGCUCGCUGGACAAGUAUUGACGCUGAGGUACGAAAGCGUGGGGAGCAAACAGGAUUAGAUACCCCGGUAGUCC
rnacentral:rRNA from 1 species